UACAAGUGAUAGCUGACAAGUCUCUGGGAUCACAAAGUCAAGCCGAGUACAGGGUGAUGUCAUCUCUGCAACCAACAUGAAUUUUCCUUGAGGGAGAUUUGCAAGCAAGACUCUCUGUUGAUAUGGCCUGGGGGCAUAUCCAUGACCAGCCACAUGCCUGGACCCUGUGGAUGGAGUGGGAAGAUGGAUUUGGAGUAAUGUUCUCUCAAUCAAAUUUACAAUUUAAGGAAAAAAAAUACUGAUUGCAUUGUAAUAUUUUCCAGUAGAAAUGAUAAAAAUCAAUCAGUCCAGAAUUACAGAAUCCAGCAAAGCUGUACAUUAAACCCUGGGAGGAGGGGAGGCCUCUUGUUAGGCAGCCCAUUUCGAACAAAGUGAGUCUCUGCUUCCCGUGCAUGGUAACCAGCAGUCACCUGGCACCUGAGUCUUUGAUCUGCCUGCAGAAGGUUGUGGACGUGGUGAUAGAGGGGACUCUGGAGGGAAGGGAUGAGCAAAGCUAUAACUUGAGCCCAGGAAUCAACUGGCAAUGGGAUCCCAGAACCUAGUGGGCUUAAUCUCUCACGAAUCAUCCAAAUUCAAUUCUGGGACUUCCUGAGAGGGGCUGAACGGUGAGCCUCAUCCAGAUACUUUUUUUUUUUUGGAUAAUAAAGUGCUAAUCAGCACCUUCUAUGGAAGACCCCUUUCCACACUGGUUUAUCUAUGAAUGAGGUUUGCAUAUAAACCAUGAUUUGCCAUUUAAAAUAGGAUCUGAACUUGGGGUGGCCAACCCCUUGGGAAAUCAUGACUCCAUUACUUUCUGUCAGAGGUAAAGUAGUAAUUUUGAACUCUGGACACGGAUCCCAGAACACAGCACCAAACCUACCUGAGAAACACCCCCAUGCUCGGACAGCGUGUCCUCUCACCUGCAUUGACAGGGGCUUGGUUUGCAGACAGUGAUCAAGCUCUUCACUCACAGGCAGGUCAUUUUAAAAAUCUCUUUGUUCUUAAAUUGCUAGGCCUUAAGGAGAUAAGGUGUGUUACAGACAUUUUGUCCCGUAAGGUCCAAGAGGUACGCAUGCAGCUGGUAAUCAUUUAGUAAGCAGAGUUCAUGUAAAAGAACGUGACUUGCUUCAGGUAACACUCUUCAGAGUUGACUGGCAUUGCCCGUCCAUAUUUGUUGGGACAUUUUGUUGCUUUCCUUCAUCUGAGAAACCAGAAAGAGCAGAACCCACGAGCUCAGGUGAGCAACGUUGCAGCACACAGCAGAGGAAGUGCUUCAGAGACGCCCAGGUCUAGGUUCCAAGUGGAAGCCUUCUAACUCCUGUGCCCCUGGGAGGAAAAGUGGUCUUCCAACUGGAGAGAGGAGGAAACUCAGAGUUAAAAGGUGGGGACUCAGAUAAAGAGAGACUCUGAGCAAAUAAUGGAAUUGGGCACCAACCUGGACCCAGGCCAAGCCACAGGUGGAGCCUCCAGAGAUGGCAAUAACCAGCCAGGUGGAGCACACCUUUAAUCCCAGCACGAAGCUGAGGCAGGAGGAUCGCAAGUUCAAAGCCAGUCUCUGCAACUGAGGGACACCCUGUCUCAAAAUAAAUAAAAAAUUUAAAAAGGCUGGGGGUGAGGCUCUGUGGUUAAGUGUCCCUGGGUUUAAUCCCUGGUGUGUGUGUGUGUGUGUGUGUGUGUGUCAGAGAGAGAAAGAGAAAUAGCAAGACCCGAAGUUGACAUGCCCGUGUGGAUAAAGUCCCACGGCAGCCUUGCAGUGCUCCCAGGGUCCCUGUGGGGUGCAGUAACAGCGGAGCACUUGGGUGUGUCCUCACUCCCAGCCUCAUGGGGUUGCCCCCGUCCAGUGAGUGUGGA
rnacentral:lncRNA from 1 species